rnacentral:lncRNA from 1 species
UUGUCUCAUUUCUCCUGUCUCCUCAUUAGCACUAAGCCUCAUGACCUCAGCUGUCUGGAAAGAAGACCAAGAUGUAAGCACACCUGAGCAGAUCCUUUUCCAAGUAUCCUGAUGUCUCCAAGGGCUGUUCAGAUUCCAAAGAGAACUAUCUACAAGUUAAUCUCUGUUACUGGAGUCAUUCAUUCUCCGUAGUAAUCUGCUCCACAGAAUUCCUCUUCUCUUCCCUCCCAUAACCUGUUUUACCAGGAUCCAAGCCUCCAUUCUUUCUGUAA